UACGUAGGGAGCGAGCGUUGUCCGGAUUCAUUGGGCGUAAAGAGCUCGUAGGCGGCUUGGCAAGUCGGGUGUGAAAACUCCAGGCUCAACCUGGAGACGCCACCUGAUACUGCCAUGGCUAGAGUCCGGUAGGGGACCACGGAAUUCCUGGUGUAGCGGUGAAAUGCGUAGAUAUCAGGAGGAACACCUGUGGCGAAAGCGGCUCACUGGACCAUAACUGACGCUGAUGCACGAAAGCUAGGGGAGCAAACAGG
rnacentral:rRNA from 1 species